rnacentral:sRNA from 1 species
AAAACGUCAAGCCGUAAAGCGAGACCCAACCGGAAGUCCGUCACAGCUCUUGGCUAAAAGUCCUACCUCGCCUCUGAGGUGCCAGACACAGUGAGUUCUGGAUGCAGUGUUCAAGCUGCCUCAAACUCUUGCCAUGAGGACUCCUCUACCCCGAGGUGAACUGCGCCCAGGAACUUCGAACCUUAAGUGGCUUUCAUCAGGACCUGAGCUCCGAUGGCUCUAGCAUCACUGUUUCCUGGACAAGGCCACGACUCUGAAGGGGCCGGGGGCACAUGCUGGUCUGUAGACAAACACUUCCUGGGAUAAAGGGGCUUGAACCCAGGAUCUUGGACUCGAGAGGCAAAUGCUCUACCGCUAAGCCGUGCUCCUGGCUAUGAAAUAUACUUCGAGUUUACAUUUCAAUUAUGUAUUUCACACAUAAAUCAGGUUUUUG